GGCUUUUUAGAAACCAUAUUAUGAAUCCCAACAUAAAUCAAGGGCAAAUGAAUCCUCUUCUCACAUUCUGCCGUCGAUAUCCCAGAUAACUCAAUCAUCCAUCUUCUCACCCUAACAUAUCCACAUCGCAUUAAAACGUCCUUAAAUCCGAGCUUGGAUCUGCUUAUCCACGAAGUACAGUCAGUUAGGGCAGAAUGAGAUCUCAGAUUCAUUUGACCUUACGCCAUCCAUCAUUAGAGUUACAUGAAAUGCUCCUCAAGAGACUGACAUUGGUUCCUACAGAUCUCAAUUAUCCACAGCCACUCAUUACGGAACGUAAUAUGGGUCGAUAUAUAGAGCAACUUCUCAUACCAGCUCUCAACAUUUGAGCACACAAGGCGUCGGCUCGGCUCAUCCGGAGAUGUCCCCACUCUGACAGAGUUACCAAAGGUGAUGAAUCUUCAUCAAGGUUAUGGAUUCAUUGUGUUCAUUAGUGAGGAGGACACUGACUAUGUAAGUCUUUCUCUUUUCCGAGAGUUUUAACUUCUUUCUUUGUUUUCCAUGUGCGCAGGCAAUUAAGGUUCUUAACAUGAUUAAGCUCCAUGGAAAGCCUAUACGUCUUAACAAGGUGUCAUUUUUGUUUUUAUAAGCAUCAUCGUAAAAGUUUGCUAACAUUUUGUUUCCUGGUUGACUUUCAGCAGUUUGACUUUCCAUGACUGUAAUUCGUACACUUCCUUUAUCUUUAUUGACAUACAUGGUAUUCAUUUUUAUCUCUUUUUUUUCUUAAACAUUUUGAUCAUUUUUGACAAAAGAAUUCAUUUUGAUCGUAUAGAUUAUAAUUACAGUACGACAAGAGAACAAAAAGUCUGUAAUUUCCACCACGGCAGAACUAAAUAUGUGAUAUCAUAUUAAUUUCUUCAUAAUAUUUUCCAGUAUGACAGUUGUAUCUAUUUCAUUAUCUUAAGAACACAUGUAGCUAGCUUUGGUUCUACCCAACGUGUGCCUUCUCUUUCCAUGCUACCAACACUAGCCCGGAUUUGAUUGACUACCUUUGAAGUGACCUUAAAGUGUUGUUACCGACAAAUAUAUGCCUCUUCUUCGUUAGAUUAAAGAUAUCAGUAGAGUUGGCUUUUACCAAUGAACUCUUUUGAAACCAGAUUAAACGAUAGGAAUUGAAAUCAAAUCUACACUUACGGAUAUAAUAAUCAUUUUUAAAACUAUUAAAGUCCUAAUGUUUUCCUUUUGUGACAGAAGCAAAUUGAGUUGUAAAGAGUUUUUUUUUUGGAACACAAUUUUCAUUAACUUCAAAUUCAAAGAAUACAAUGAAGAGAGGGAAUCAAACAUCCUCUUAGAAACAAACCAUAAACAACAAUUGCAAAAGAAAUUAAACAGGAUAGAUCUUCAUAUGAAGUUGACAACGAAUUCAAAACAUGGCUUGAAUGCGUCGAUAAAGCUUUAGCAACAGAAUCGGACAACUGAGAUUUAGUCACGAGUAACGUUGAAAGCCAACCCUCACCAACGAAAAGAACCGAAAUAAUCUCGAUUACACCUUCAGGCCCUGUACAGACCGCUGCACAAGAUAACAAACCGGUGAGUAAAUUGAAGCAAUAACUCGGGAAAGAACCCGGAAGUACAUCCCCAUUCAUAGAAUGAAGGCAUGGUUGUGAGAAACUCUCAUGAACUGGAGAGGAUGGUGAAAACAGUAAAGAGUGAAAGAGUUUUUUUUUCUUUGAUAAAACAAAGUAAAAGAGUUUACCGCACUGACGAUAAUAAAAUAAGUUUCUUAAGUUAAAAUUAACAAAUCGAAGGUACAAAUGUAUUGAGAACAUUACUAGAUUACAUUCACUUCUCUUAACAAUAAGAUUUUUUUUUUGUAUCCUCUUUACAGUAAAAUUACGCAAUGUGUUU